CUCCUCUAUCUUAUCUUCUCUGGGGGUCUGAUAUCAAACCAGCAAAAAAACAAAACCCCAUCUCGUCUCAGUCCAACACCACCACUCAUCCACAAGUUCUUUGUUUUGCCAAAACAAAAUACUCCACAAGUUCUUUGCUUUGCCAAAACAAAAUACUCGAUCUUUUUGUUUGGUUAAUAUUACCCACAUCUUGCUUUUUGUUUCCCAAAACUCUCAAUUUCUCUAAGGUUUUCUUUUCCUAGAUCCCUAUUUCUUGUUCUUGUGAGCUUGAGAUUUGGACGCCAUUAGAUGAUAUUAAAGCCACUGCGAGGUGUUGCAUGAGCUUCUCUUCUCUAGUUCUCAAAAUCUUGCUUGGCUUUUGAAGCGUUAGCAGAUGGGUUGCUUUGAUUUCACGGGGAAACCAUUCAGGUAGACUUGAUCUGCACCUGCAAGCAACAUCAGAAGUUCUAUGCUGGUAAGUGUCACAGCACAGACGGACAUGGAGGAAGAAGAACCCAUAUUCCUUUAGGGGCACAAUCCAAGAUAGAUGGCAUCCAAGGUCAGCAACAAAUUCAAGUCAAGAAUUAAGGUCCAAGCACCGCAGCAAAUGUGACGAUAAAAUUAGGCAGCCUUUUCCCAUACCUUUGAACUUUCAGUACAAUACUAUGGUGGCGGCCUCCAUCUAUGUUUUUUUAUUUUGGACUGAUGCUAAACUAAUGGAAGAUUUAAAUGAUGUUUAUUUCUGAAGUUGCUGUUUUGAAAUUAUAUUGUAGAAGUAUUUAAAUUUGGUUUCCAGAUUCCAUUACAGGGAGUCAGGGACUAUGUAACAUAAUUCAGGGACUCCAUUACAGGGAGUCAGGGACUAUGUAACAUAAUUCAUCUUUAAAAGUCAGAAGUGAUCUCAGAA